GCUUUACACUGACAGUCGCACGGCAGCACGGGGGCACCAUGUGUGGCGAGUGGCGAACGGGUGAGUAAUACAUCGGAACGUGCCCAGUCGUGGGGGAUAACGUAUCGAAGGCUACGCUAAUACCGCAUCGAACUCUGGUUGAAAGCGGGGGAUCGCAAGACCUCUCGCGAUUGGAGCGGCCGAUGGCAGAUUAGGUAGGUGGUGGGGUAAAGGCUCACCAAGCCGACUAUCUGUAGCUGGUCUGAGAGGACGACCAGCCACACUGAGAGUGAUACACGGACCAGACUCCUACGGGAGGCAGCAGUGGGGAAUUUUGGACAAUGGGCGCAAGCGUGAUCCCGCCAUUCCGCGGGCAGGAUGAACGCCCUCUGGUUGUAAACUGCUUUUGUAUGGAACGAAGAGGCCUUCUCUAAUAGCCAGGGCUCAUGACCGUACGGUAAGAAUUGCACCGGCUAACUACGUGCCAGCAGCCGCGGUAAUACGUAGGGUGCAAGCGUUAAUCGGAAUUACUGGGCGGUCUCCGUGCGCAGGCGGUGAUGUCUGACACGUGUGAAAUCCCCGGGCUUGGCCUGGGAAGUGUAUUUGUGACUGCCUUGCUGGACUGCGUCAUACGGGGAUGGAAUUCCUCCUGUACCAUUGAAAUGAGUUUAUAUGCUGAGGAAGACCUAUGGAGGAGGUCAUCUUCUGGCGCUGCACUCACUCUCGAGCCCGAGAACGAGCGGAGCCCACAUGACUACAUACACUGGUAGUACCACCCGAGAUAUGUCCCGGUUGGUUGGUCCCUAUUGGAUUGAAACUAAGCGCACGCGUGAAGUUUACCUUUGGGGAGUACGGCCUCCGGUUUAAACUCAAUUGACUGAUACGCGA
rnacentral:rRNA from 1 species